UUCCUUCUGAUUUGUCUCUUUCUAAUCUAUUAACACUGCUCUGUUGUCGGCGGUCACAAUCUUCUAUAUCAAUCAGUUCUCCGCCGGAAUCAAAAACAGUGAAAUUUCGGUUGGUCGUCAAGUUUCUCCGACCCGUAGAACCCUAAUUGCAAAAGCAUGUUGUUUCAAUCUUCCUCAAGAACCUAUUCUCUCAGAGGCUCUCAAGGUACUCUUUAUCCCUAAUUAUUGUUGUGUGUUCUUGGAGGGUUUACGUGAUUGUUGAUGUGUCUUGCGAUGUGGUUGUUUAGGAGCCAAUUGCAUUUGUGGGUGGGAUGUUUGCUGGACUACUCAGACUCGAUCUAAACGAUGAACCGCUUAAGGAAUGGGUGACGCGAACUGUUGAAGCCUCUGGUAUUACAGAAGAGGAUGUCGGUGGAGAUGGGAUGGCCUCCAAUGAAGAAGAAUCUCCUCAACAGAUUGAGAUUGAAUGAGGUCAUUGUCCUUUAGUAUGGUUGCCCUUGUAUAUGUAUGUGUUGUCUAUGUGAGAAGAAAAACAUAUACCCAAAGAAGAUUGUCUUCUUGGAAAAACCUAAGGCUUUCAAUCUUGAUUGAUAUCUUGCUCCUAGGUGAUGAAAACACUAAGAGAGUGGUCAUCUUGUAGUAGAACUGAAAGAAUAUUACGAUUCACUAUCUAUCAUCAUCAUCCAUAGUCUUAGUCUCUAAAUCAGAAUAACUAGACUCGUCACUCGGUUCACCUGCCAAGCACAGAUUAUUUUCAUAACAAAAUGACUGUAUUUUUGAAAAUACAUUCACCAACUGCGAACUAUCUAGCAUAGCAGUGACUUGACAGAACCAGUUGGGAUUCCCUAGUUUCAACUUCGUCACUGUGGCCUCGCGUUUGUGUAUAUCAACUACACUUAUCGGAUUCUUCAGGCUUUAUGAGAACUUAGUCUUGUUGGUUGGUUAGCCAUUUGAUUUACGCAGCCCUUGCUAGACCAGCUAGGCAUAACGUGAUUCAUUAUGCUAUUCAUCAUCCAACUGCUGUCUGGUUUGUUGGCCGUCAUUUAACUGCGCUCACUGGGAUCGUUUUGCAAAGAAGGUAGUUGACGAUUUACUGAUGUAUUAUUAAGGGCUUCAUAAUUUAUACUCAUACUAAUGUUCUUGAUUUGCAUUUUUUCGUCUGCAGGACUAUGUUAGGGAAAGCUAGAAGCUGACCUUCUUACGUUCAUCAUACCUUCAGUCCUCAGACAUUUGGUAAUGUAUUUUAUUCGAUUAAGAUUGUCAUAUUUUAGUUACCUCAGUAUCACAUCCUUGACACUUGGCUAAGCCGGUUUUUCCUGAGAUCAAAUAAAGACCAUGUCAUACACGGCCAACUUAGCGAGUAAUCUGAUACAUUCAUUUCUCUGAAGUUAGAGCUUCUCUUUUAACGAAAUUGAGAAUUGAUUGGCCUGGCCUUAAAUUAGAAAAUUGUGUUUGCAAAGUGGUCUGGUGAAUGAUGAGGCAAAACUGCUGUUGCUAGGAUCAUGGAUGGCACUCUUUGUAGUAUUUUCUGGACGAAAAAAAUGACACAGCUUAUAAAAAAAUCACACAGCUUAUGAACUUUUUGCUUACUAAAGAUUUUAAUAUGCUAGUUUCAAAAGAGGUCAUGUUUUUUAUACAAGUAUCAUCAAAAUGCUAUAAUACUAAUAAUCUUCAAUCUUGCCUGUUAUUAUGUUGAUGACUCUUUUUCGGAAGAUGAGAUCAAGGCUGUAGUUGCAAAACCCCAGCGAGAGUAAGACUGAUUUUGCAAAAAUGUUGGUAACUAUUUUCAAGAAGAGAUAAAAUCUUGUAUUCGUAGAUCUCUAUGUUUCACAAAAAUAUCAUUUUGGUGUUUUUUAUUUGUUAUACAAAAAGUAUAGCUUUAGAUUUCCAAUGUAAUUUAUACAUAUUCUAAAUUUAAUAUCAAUUGCAAAAUACACUGAUAUUUCGAACAAUAUUGGUUAAAUAAAUAUAAUCAUUAAAAUAUAUAUGAAUUCCAGUUAUUUUAUUAAUUUGUGUGAACCACUCAUUUUGAAACGGAAGUAUUAUAAUACCAACUAGAUUUUGAUCCGCGCAACCGCGCAGAUGUUUGUUUUCACUUUUCUAUACAUAAAUUAUUGUUUUAGAACAUAAGUGUAUAUAUUUUUAACGUUAACCGUAUACUUAAAUAUUUAUAUAACUAUUUCAAAUACAAUAAUUUUAUAAUUUACAUGUUAUAAUUAAUCAAUUGUUUAAAACCGUCUAUAUCUAUCACUUCUUAUUAUAUUUUUAUCUUAUUAUAUUUGCAUUUAGUUAUUAAGGAAAUUAAUAUAUUCAUGAGAAAACAUAUUUGAAAAUUAUUUUGUAUUUAAUUUAUGCUAAAUUCAAGAAAUUAUAAUGCCAUUUCAUAAUUUCUCAAAGUCGUGUCAUUUUUUUUUUGGUGAUAAUGAACAUGGUGAUGACACAUAAGAAAAACACAUCUCAAAUAAUGUUUAGGCUAUACUUAAUAUAUUUAUACUAGUUAUACUCGUUUUAGUUUUACUAGUUGUACUAAUUAGAGUUGUGCUAGUUGUAUUAGUUGGAGUUGUACUUGUUGUACUAGUUGAAGUUGUAUUAGUUGUACUAGUAAUACUCUGCGUUCUUAUUUAUCUUGAAUCUCGUAUGUAAAAGAUGAAAUUUGAUUUUGGAUAAUAUAUAAUUGACUAAAUCUUUCUAUGAGUUAGAUCAAUUUGAGAUAAGAAAGUGAAAAUUAGUGGAUGGUUGAAGAAAAUUUUCGAUUUUGUUUUAUGGUGAAAGAACUAAUAAUGGAGAAGAAAAAGGGAAGAAGAAGAAACUUUAAGUUAAAGUUAGGUUGAAUUUCGGGUCUGAAACCGGGUCGGAUUCUGGGUAGGAUAGUAAUGGCAUAGGUUAGUAAAUAUGUCUAAGUCUUUAGGUUUUUUUAGUUAGAUUUCUAUUUAAAUUUUAAUGUAAAAAAAAAAGAAAAUAAAGAUGGGUCUAAUUCAGAUUUUCUGGAACCCAAAGGGUCCAUCCUAGCAUUUGUUUCGAUAUUUUCUGAGCAGAGGAAGAAGAAGCGAUGGGUUUCGUCCUAAUUUCUUCUUGUCCCCCGUUCUCCCUCGUCCUUAUCUCUCGGCUUCACCAGGUCUGUCUUCCUUCUGAUUUGUCUCUUUCUAAUCUAUUAACACUGCUCUGUUGUCGGCGGUCACAAUCUUCUAUAUCAAUCAGUUCUCCGCCGGAAUCAAAAACAGUGAAAUUUCGGUUGGUCGUCAAGUUUCUCCGACCCGUAGAACCCUAAUUGCAAAAGCAUGUUGUUUCAAUCUUCCUCAAGAACCUAUUCUCUCAGAGGCUCUCAAGGUACUCUUUAUCCCUAAUUAUUGUUGUGUGUUCUUGGAGGGUUUACGUGAUUGUUGAUGUGUCUUGCGAUGUGGUUGUUUAGGAGCCAAUUGCAUUUGUG
rnacentral:lncRNA from 1 species